GAUGAACGCUGGCGGCGUGCUUAACACAUGCAAGUCGAACGAACCUUCGGGUUAGUGGCGGACGGGUGAGUAACACGUGGGUGAUCUGCCCUGCACUUCGGGAUAAGCCUGGGAAACUGGGUCUAAUACCGGAUAGGAGCCAUUUUUAGUGUGAUGGUUGGAAAGUUUUUUCGGUGUAGGAUGAGCUCGCGGCCUAUCAGCUUGUUGGUGGGGUAAUGGCCUACCAAGGCGGCGACGGGUAGCCGGCCUGAGAGGGUGGACGGCCACAUUGGGACUGAGAUACGGCCCAGACUCCUACGGGAGGCAGCAGUGGGGAAUAUUGCACAAUGGGCGCAAGCCUGAUGCAGCGACGCCGCGUGGGGGAUGACGGCCUUCGGGUUGUAAACUCCUUUCGCUAGGGACGAAGCUUUUUGUGACGGUACCUAGAUAAGAAGCACCGGCUAACUACGUGCCAGCAGCCGCCGUAAAAC
rnacentral:rRNA from 1 species